AGCAAUCCACCAUAUGAAGAAGCAAUACAAGAGGUGGGAGCCAACAAGGAUUGGGAGGCUCCAAAUCCCUCACGGAUUUCACUUUCUACUAGAUGGAUUUGGUGGAUCUAAGCCUGUCCUCUCCUCUCUCUAACGCUAGCUCUCUCCCAAGGUGAAGAACAUAACAGAACACUCGGUUCUGAUUCGAGUUGGGGCUGCCCCUUAAAAUGGCAGACUUGUAAAGAGACCCUAGAGUUGCAGAUUAUCA
rnacentral:lncRNA from 1 species